AUAGCGUAUAUUAAAGUUGUUGUGGUUAAAAAGCUCGUAGUUGAAUAUCUGGCCGGUGCUGUUCUUGGCUCCCUGAGUCGGUGCAGCGCCUGGUUAUCCGUAUGGGAAACCAGCUCGACCUUCACUGUGUCGGCUGGCGGAUCAUACACUUUACUUUGAAAAAAUUAGAGUGUUUCAGGCAGGCAAUUGCUUGGAUACUGUAGCAUGGAAUAAUGGAAUAGGACUUUGACCUAUUUGUUGGUUUCUCGAGGUCAAAGUAAUGAUUAAUAGGGACAGUUGGGGGCAUUCGUAUUUAAUUGUCAGAGGUGAAAUUCUUGGAUUUUUUAAAGACGAACUUAUG
rnacentral:rRNA from 1 species